CAGCCGCCGCGGUAAUACGUAGGGUGCGAGCGUUAAUCGGAAUUACUGGGCGUAAAGCGUGCGCAGGCGGUUUUGUAAGACAGGCGUGAAAUCCCCGGGCUCAACCUGGGAAUGGCGCUUGUGACUGCAAAGCUAGAGUGCGGCAGAGGGGGAUGGAAUUCCGCGUGUAGCAGUGAAAUGCGUAGAUAUGCGGAGGAACACCGAUGGCGAAGGCAAUCCCCUGGGCCUGCACUGACGCUCAUGCACGAAAGCGUGGGGAGCAAGCAGGAUUAGAUACCCCUGUAGUCCCUGUCUCUUAUAC
rnacentral:rRNA from 1 species